CCUACGGGGGGCAGCAGUGGGGAAUAUUGCACAAUGGGCGCAAGCCUGAUGCAGCCAUGCCGCGUGUAUGAAGAAGGCCUUCGGGUUGUAAAGUACUUUCAGCGGGGAGGGAGGCGAUAAGGUUAAUAACCUUGUCGAUUGACGUUACCCGCAGAGGAAGCACCGGCUAACUCCGUGCCAGCAGCCGCGGUAAUACGGAGGGUGCAAGCGUUAAUCGGAAUCACUGGGCGUAAGGCGCACGCAGGCGGUCUGUCAAGUCGGAUGUGAAAUCCCCGGGCUCAACCUGGGAACUGCAUUCGAAACUGGCAGGCUAGAGUCUUGUAGAGGGGGGUAGAAUUCCAGGUGUAGCGGUGAAAUGCGUAGAGAUCUGGAGGAAUACCGGUGGCGAAGGCGGCCCCCUGGACAAAGACUGACGCUCAGGUGCGAAAGCGUGGGGAGCAAACAGGAUUAGAUACCCUAGUAGUC
rnacentral:rRNA from 1 species